UACAGAGGGUGCAAGCGUUAAUCGGAAUUACUGGGCGUAAAGCGCGCGUAGGCCGUCGAGUAAGUCGGUUGUGAAAUCCCCGGGCUUAACCUGGGAAUUGCAGUCGAUACUGCUUGGCUAGAGCGUGGAAGAGGGAAGCGGAAUUUCCGGUGUAGCGGUGAAAUGCGUAGAUAUCGGAAGGAAUACCAGUGGCGAAGGCGGCUUCCUGGUCCAACACUGACGCUGAGGCGCGAAAGCGUGGGGAGCGAACAGG
rnacentral:rRNA from 1 species